GACGAACGCUGGCGGCGUGCCUAAUACAUGCAAGUAGAACGCUGAAGGAGGAGCUUGCUCUUCUGGAUGAGUUGCGAACGGGUGAGUAACGCGUAGGUAACCUGCCUGGUAGCGGGGGAUAACUAUUGGAAACGAUAGCUAAUACCGCAUAACAGUAGAUGUUGCAUGACAUUUGCUUAAAAGGUGCAAUUGCACCACUACCAGAUGGACCUGCGUUGUAUUAGCUAGUUGGUGGGGUAACGGCUCACCAAGGCGACGAUACAUAGCCGGCCUGAGAGGGGGAUCGGCCACACUGGGACUGAGACACGGCCCAGACUCCUACGGGAAGCAGCAGUAGGGAAUCUUCGGCAAUAGACGGAAGUCUGACCGAGCAACGCCGCGUGAGUGAAGAAGGUUUUCGGAUCGUAAAGCUCUGUUGUAAGAGAAGAACGAGUGUGAGAGUGGAAAGUUCACACUGUGACGGUAUCUUACCAGAAAGGGACGGCUAACUACGUG
rnacentral:rRNA from 1 species